AUUGAACGCUGGCGGCAGGCCUAACACAUGCAAGUCGAGCGGUAGCACAGAGAGCUUGCUCUCGGGUGACGAGCGGCGGACGGGUGAGUAAUGUCUGGGAAACUGCCUGAUGGAGGGGGAUAACUACUGGAAACGGUAGCUAAUACCGCAUAANGUCGCAAGACCAAAGUGGGGGACCUUCGGGCCUCAUGCCAUCAGAUGUGCCCAGAUGGGAUUAGCUAGUAGGUGGGGUAACGGCUCACCUAGGCGACGAUCCCUAGCUGGUCUGAGAGGAUGACCAGCCACACUGGAACUGAGACACGGUCCAGACUCCUACGGGAGGCAGCAGUGGGGAAUAUUGCACAAUGGGCGCAAGCCUGAUGCAGCCAUGCCGCGUGUGUGAAGAAGGCCUUCGGGUUGUAAAGCACUUUCAGCGGGGAGGAAGGCGNUNAGGUUAAUAACCUNNNCGAUUGACGUUACCCGCAGAAGAAGCACCGGCUAACUCCGUGCCAGCAGCCGCGGUAAUACGGAGGGUGCAAGCGUUAAUCGGAAUUACUGGGCGUAAAGCGCACGCAGGCGGUCUGUCAAGUCGGAUGUGAAAUCCCCGGGCUCAACCUGGGAACUGCAUUCGAAACUGGCAGGCUAGAGUCUUGUAGAGGGGGGUAGAAUUCCAGGUGUAGCGGUGAAAUGCGUAGAGAUCUGGAGGAAUACCGGUGGCGAAGGCGGCCCCCUGGACAAAGACUGACGCUCAGGUGCGAAAGCGUGGGGAGCAAACAGGAUUAGAUACCCUGGUAGUCCACGCCGUAAACGAUGUCGAUUUGGAGGUUGUGCCCUUGAGGCGUGGCUUCCGGAGCUAACGCGUUAAAUCGACCGCCUGGGGAGUACGGCCGCAAGGUUAAAACUCAAAUGAAUUGACGGGGGCCCGCACAAGCGGUGGAGCAUGUGGUUUAAUUCGAUGCAACGCGAAGAACCUUACCUGGUCUUGACAUCCACAGAACUUUCCAGAGAUGGAUUGGUGCCUUCGGGAACUGUGAGACAGGUGCUGCAUGGCUGUCGUCAGCUCGUGUUGUGAAAUGUUGGGUUAAGUCCCGCAACGAGCGCAACCCUUAUCCUUUGUUGCCAGCGGUUNGGCCGGGAACUCAAAGGAGACUGCCAGUGAUAAACUGGAGGAAGGUGGGGAUGACGUCAAGUCAUCAUGGCCCUUACGACCAGGGCUACACACGUGCUACAAUGGCAUAUACAAAGAGAAGCGACCUCGCGAGAGCAAGCGGACCUCAUAAAGUAUGUCGUAGUCCGGAUUGGAGUCUGCAACUCGACUCCAUGAAGUCGGAAUCGCUAGUAAUCGUAGAUCAGAAUGCUACGGUGAAUACGUUCCCGGGCCUUGUACACACCGCCCGUCACACCAUGGGAGUGGGUUGCAAAAGAAGUAGGUAGCUUAACCUUCGGGAGGGCGCUUACCACUUUGUGAUUCAUGACUGGGGUGAAG
rnacentral:rRNA from 1 species